rnacentral:rRNA from 1 species
UACACAUGCAGUCGAACGGCAGCACGGGGGCAACCCUGGUGGCGAGUGGCGAACGGGUGAGUAACAUAUCGGAACGUGCCCUGGAGUGGGGGAUAACUAGUCGAAAGAUUAGCUAAUACCGCAUACGAUCUACGGAUGAAAGUGGGGGAUCGCAAGACCUCAUGCUCGUGGAGCGGCCGAUAUCUGAUUAGCUAGUUGGUGGGGUAAAGGCCUACCAAGGCAUCGAUCAGUAGCUGGUCUGAGAGGACGACCAGCCACACUGGGACUGAGACACGGCCCAGACUCCUACGGGAGGCAGCAGUGGGGAAUUUUGGACAAUGGGCGCAAGCCUGAUCC